ensembl:lncRNA
UAUUUACAUAUAUCAUUGUUCUUUUUCUUCAUUCCUUUGAUCCUUUGACAAGAAUUGUUGCUAAUAAAUUCACUUUGAAUUACUUAGAAUUUUUCUCAACACAUUUUUCGCAGUCUUAAAACAUUCUUGUAACUCCACUUUAUAUUUUUUCACAUUUAAAUAAGCCCAGUGUCUUCCAAAGACACUAGUCAAGAAAGUUUAAAGAAAGAAUUUUUAUGCAAAGAAACAUCUGUUUAAGAACGAAAUGUUGACAAAUGGAGGAAGUGUCUGGGGAGAGGGAAGUCUGGGCAUCCCUGCUUAGACUGCUGCCCCCGCGACCCGGCCCCGGAUAAGCGGAAGAUGAUGGAUGGAUGGAUGUUGACAAAUGUAUAAGAGUAAAUUUGACUUGUAAAGUUUCCGAGGUUUUCCUUAACAACAGAAACAACAUGCUGGUAGUUUGUCAUGGCUUCAACAGAGAUAUUUUUAAAGGUGUUUGCAUUUCAUCUGAAAUCUACCAGUGAUAGUCCCACCUCCAUUUACAAUAGUGAACAAACCAUUUGAAUGAAUAUGAAAAUGUGCUUGUUCAAGAAGAUGGUAAACACAAAUACUGAUAAAAAGGCUUUCUUCAACUAUGGCUUUUAUUCGGGUUAGGUUUGGUAUGUUUCUUAGCACAUUUAAACCCUUCUUAAUUCUGAAACCUUCUCUUAUUUUCAGUAUCUUUUUGUUGUCUCAUUACCACGAUCACCCAUCAUUACCACGAUCACCUAAAUGUUGGAACACAGACGCUCAACUGAACAGAGGUCCAACGGUCAUCUAGCAAUCUCACUAACAGCAGAACAAACCUAAUGAUCAAUCAACAUUCAGGGUCACUCAAAAUAACAACUCAAAAUGACAAGUCAAAGGUAUGUUUUGCUGUUCCUCAAGGCUCGGUUCUGGGCCCAUUAUUGUUCUCACUAUAUGCUCCCUCUGGGUGAUGUAAUCCGAAAUCACAAUGUACAUUUUCACUGUUAUUCAGAUGACACACAGUUAUAUAUUUCAAUGAAGCAUGGAUAAGCCCCUAAAUUAGCUACUUUGGAAGAAUGCGUUUCAGAUAUUAGGAAGUGGAUAACAGAGAAUUUCUUGCUCUUAAACUCAAGGAAAACAGAAACGCUUUAGGACACAAGAAACAAAUAGUGUUGUUAGCAGAUCUCACUGUAAGCUGUAAGAAACCUCGACGUCACCCUUGACCCUGACCUCUCCUUUGAAGAACAUUUUUUGCAAAAAUCAGUAAUGUUCUAUUAAAAACUGAUGCAGAAAAACUAAUCCAUGCUUUCGUUACUUCUAGACUAGAUUACUGCAAUGCUCUUCUUUCCGGUUACCCUGACAAAUCAAUAAAUAAACUUCAAUUAGUGCUGCACACGGCUGCUAGAAACCUAACUAGAACAGAUUAUUUUUUUACAAAUUAAGCUGCCUGUUAGGGUUAGGGCUGAUUUUAAGGUUUUACUGUUAACCUAUAAAUCAAUACAUGAACUUGCUCUUACUUACCUUGCUGAAAUUAUCAACUUUAUAGUUACAACUCAUUCUGCUGGGGGUAACGUCGGGUGCUGGUUUAGCUCAGUGGGUUACUUCCUCAUAACAGUUAUUUCAUGGUCUGCAGGCCAGAG